rnacentral:rRNA from 1 species
UGGGGAAUCUUGGACAAUGGGCGAAAGCCUGAUGCAGCGACGCCGCGUGGGGGAUGAAGGCCCUAGGGUCGUAAACCCCUUUCAGCAGGGACGAAGAUGACGGUACCUGCAGAAGAAGCCCCGGCCAACUUCGUGCCAGCAGCCGCGGUAAUACGAAGGGGGCUAGCGUUGUUCGGAAUUACUGGGCGUAAAGCGCACGUAGGCGGAUCUAUAAGUCAGGGGUGAAAUCCCGGGGCUCAACCUCGGAACUGCCUUCAAAACUGGCGACCUGGACUCAAGCAGAGGCAAGUGGAAUUGCGAGUGUAGAGGUGAAAUUCGUAGAUAUUCGCAGGAACACCAGUGGCGGAGGCGACUUGCUGGGCUUGUAGUGACGCUGAGGCGCGAAAGCUAGGGGAGCAAACGGGAUUAGAUACCCACGUAGUCCCUGAGCGGGCUGGCAAGGCGCAU